GGAAAUUCGGUUUAAGAGUGAAUCUGGCUUGGUGAAGAAAGAGCAAAUCAUUUCUGAAUAUGAGUAUUUGGAUAAGCUGAUGAAAGAGUUUGAGUAUGAAAAUCCAAUAGAAAAAGAAGACUGAAUCUCAAUAUCUCAAUCACUUCAAGUCUUCUACCAUCAACCAUGUAUGCAUCUUAGACUUGU